UUUCCAGACUCCUACGGGAGGCAGCAGUGAGGAAUAUUGGUCAAUGGGCGGGAGCCUGAACCAGCCAAGUCGCGUGAGGGAAGAAGGUACUGAGUAUUGUAAACCUCUUUUGCCAGGGGACAAAGGCGGCCACGGGUGGCCGUAAGAGGGUACCUGGAGAAAAAGCAUCGGCUAACUCCGUGCCAGCAGCCGCGGUAAUACGGAGGAUGCGAGCGUUAUCCGGAUUUACUGGGUGUAAAGGGGGCGCAGACGGCAGCGCAAGCCAGGAGUGAAAGCCCGGGGCCCAACCCCGGGACUGCUCUUGGAACUGCGCGGCUGGAGUGCAGGAGGGGCAGGCGGAAUUCCUGGUGUAGCGGUGAAAUGCGUAGAUAUCAGGAGGAACACCGGUGGCGAAGGCGGCCUGCUGGACUGCGACUGACGUUGAGGCCCGAAAGCGUGGGGAGCAAACAGGAUUAGAUACCCGCGUA
rnacentral:rRNA from 1 species